UUCGAGCGUCCGAAAAAUACACCAACCACCAUUCUUAUGCUUCUUAAAACCACAAAACUCAACCAUAUAUGCUCUAACCUCUGCUCAACAUUGCACGUACUAAAUUCGGUUCUACACAUUAAGGCGAUACUUGAUGCGAUGACGAGGCAUUUCAUGACACGAUUGCAACUACACUCUGCAUCAAUCCUAAACUGUGGUGCCCACCGUCGAAACAACAAUUGAAGCAUCCAAGGCCGGGUCUGCACUAAUCAUUUGGAUAAACGACAAUGAGUCUACUGCACUCC
rnacentral:lncRNA from 1 species